AGCCAACUGACUGUCAAAAUGGCGGCGGCAGACUGGUCAGGGAAAAUGCAGUGGACUAGUGAAGAUCGUUCCGUACGCACGAGAUUUACUAAAUCACGAGCGUUUACCACCUUUCCAAGGAAGCAAUAAAGAUGCUUCACAGCUCCUGCACACUCAAUCUGCAAAGUUUAUAAUAAAUGAAGUCAAGUUUCAACUCCAA